rnacentral:rRNA from 1 species
UCGUUGAGGCAAAAAGAUUGCAGCACCACAAUUUCACGCAUUGUCUCCAACUGCAUUACUCGCUGUGGCUCUAAGUGGCUUGACUAACGUUGAUCGGACGGGAAACAGUAUUUUCCACUUGAUAUGGCCGCAACC